rnacentral:rRNA from 1 species
UACAGAGGGGGCAAGCGUUGUUCGGAAUUACUGGGCGUAAAGGGCGCGUAGGCGGCCUGCUAAGUCGAACGUGAAAUCCCUGGCUCAACCCAGGAACUGCGUCCGAUACUGGUUGGCUUGAAUCCGGGAGAGGGAUGUGGAAUUCCGAGGUGUAGCGGUGAAAUGCGUAGAUAUCUGGAGGAACACCGGUGGCGAAGGCGGCAUCCUGGACCGGUAUUGACGCUGAGGCGCGAAAGCCAGGGGAGCAAACGGGG